rnacentral:lncRNA from 11 species
GGAUUUGAAGUCCAAAACACCUGGAGGGAGGGCCCAAGUUUGCCCAUGCCUCUUGUAGAGUCUCUGGAGUUUCUGGAGCACAACAACUACUUUCAAAGUUUUGAAAGUGACCUCUUUCACCGCAGAUCAGUAUGCGAAAGCAAUCCUCCGAAUGAGAGCGGCGAAGCACCAUCCAUGCAUGGAAGAGUCUAUUUCCCCGUCAAAUGCUUCUCCCCUGCUGUUUGACUGCCAGCCUGAUGGGACGGUGACUGUCGUAAAGAAUCCUUGAUCGGUUGACAUCCCUUUUGUAUUAUUUGCACUACAGAUUUGUGCGCAAUCCAUUGUUGUUGUCUUUUACCAUUUCUUCAAAAAUUCAGUGUAGAAGCUUCAAAUGUAUUGCUGCACAACAGAGCAAGGAUUUCUCAUUUCUCCCAUGAAAUCCAUUUCCUUUGGCCUGGUUCUCGGCUGCUGCUGGUGGGUAUCGAUUCAAAAUGCACCCAAGUAAGUCCACAAUCCUGCAAUCCCAAGCCACGGCUGAUAUUUCCUUUGCUAUUGUCACGGUUUAAUGAUCCAAGUAUCAAAAGAACUGAUGGGAGCUCCCGGAACGAUGGAAGCAGAAUAAAUGGUGAAAGAAAAC